GACGAACGCUGGCGGCGUGCUUAACACAUGCAAGUCGAACGGAAAGGCCCUGCUUUUGUGGGGUGCUCGAGUGGCGAACGGGUGAGUAACACGUGAGUAACCUGCCCUUGACUGUGGGAUAACUUCAGGAAACUGGGGCUAAUACCGGAUAGGAGCUCCUGCUGCAUGGUGGGGGUUGGAAAGUUUCGGCGGUUGGGGAUGGACUCGCGGCUUAUCAGCUUGUUGGUUGGGUAGUGGCUUACCAAGGCUUUGACGGGUAGCCGGCCGGAGAGGGUGACCGGCCACAUUAGGACUGAGCUACGGCCCAGACUCCUACGGGAGGCAGCAGUGGGGAGUAUUGCACAAUGGGCGGAAGCCUGAUGCGGCACCGCCGCGUGCGGGAUGACGGCCUUCGGGUUGUAAACCGCUUUCGCCUGUGACGAAGCGUGAGUGACGGUAAUGGGUAAAGAAGCACCGGCUAACUACGUG
rnacentral:rRNA from 1 species